ACGAUACAUCCAAACAACUUCAACUGUUCAACGUCCACGAAGAACUUGAAUUUACUCCACACCAAGGGGAAGUUGGAUCCUCAUUCAGCAUAAGAGGCACAGAAAUAUACGGAAGCUAAAUGCCAACCUUAUCCCAUUCGAAGAUGAAGCCUACUCCAUUCUGGCUUCACAACGAAGCAUUUAAACUAGCAGAGACACAUAAAAACAGAACUUCCAUGUGAAACUAAAAGAAUUCAAUCUAUAAUGCGGUUAAUCAAGCUAGAAACCUAAUUUCUCAAUCUUGUAUCACUUACUAACUAUCCGAGCUAAUCAAGCAAGCCUCCACACCCAACUCCCCCAAGUAAUGAACACCUUUAUAAGAAGAUGGAUCCAAAUUACACUAAAAACCGAGAAUCAGCAUAAGAAAUCGCCAUUGCAAGAUGAGCAACCUCAAUGCCACUUACCGCUACUAUCAUAAGGGCCAUACUCCAUGGAUCACCUUUCUCAGGCAAGAAAAUGCUCUCACGAGAUGAAAUAUGUUCGGACGCACUGAAACCACCUCAAAGGUAAAGAGAGACUCUUUUCGCCAGCUAGAACAAAUCCAGGCCGAAAACGAGAGAUCCGCCACUUCCACAACCACUUUGGUCGAACCAUUGAAGAAAGCGAUCCAUCUUGGGACGGAAGACCAAAUUGGACCGAGAAAUCGAGUCGCGCCGGAGGAAAUCGGUGAGUGCUCGGAAGAUCCGGAGGGAGGGAGAGGAGGGAAGAUGAAGGGGAAAGGGGGGUACCCGUCGGACGCCAAAUGCGAUUUAAAAAGGAGCUUUUUACAGUAAAAUCCGUUUUGAGUUCCGACCGCAUCGAGUGGGCUGCGGGAGUCUCAGCGCGUUAUCGGAUCAUAUUUAAGUGGGGCUCCGAAAGGCCAAAAAUCC
rnacentral:lncRNA from 1 species